rnacentral:rRNA from 1 species
UACAGAGGGUGCAAGCGUUAAUCGGAAUUACUGGGCGUAAAGCGUGCGCAGGCGGUUGGCAAAGUCAGCUGUGAAAGCCCCGGGCUCAACCUGGGAAUGGCGAUGGAUACUGGCGGGCUAGAGUGCGGUAGAGGAGAGUGGAAUUCCUGGUGUAGCGGUGAAAUGCGCAGAUAUCAGGAGGAACACCAAUGGCGAAGGCAGCACUCUGGGACGUGACUGACGCUGAGACGCGAAAGCGUGGGGAGCAAACAGG